CGAACUCCUGGCGAUCCCUCGUCACUUGACAAGUUCUCUGACGUUGUGACAAUAUGAGAGUCUUGGUAGUUUUCGCAGCUGUCCUAUUAAUGGCAGUCCUUGUGAACGCCGGUGGAUAUGGCCACGGACAUGGUGGCCACGGACAUGGCGGUGGCCACGGCCAUGGCGGUUACGGACAUGGCGGUGGCCACGGACACGGCCACGGGGGUUAUGGAAAGGGCCACGUCGUCCACAAGAAGCACUACGGCGGUGGAAAGUCCGACAAUCAUUUCCACUUGUCCGGACCCAAGGGAGGAUACGGACACGGGGGCGGAUAUCACUGACUGUGGAAGACUUUUUGCUCUGUUUGUUGUUAUCAAAGUCUAAAUAUAAACUUUAUCGAUCGAUCUGUGAAAUAAAAAUGUAGUUACA